UACAGAGGGUGCAAGCGUUGUUCGGAAUUAUUGGGCGGAAAGCGCGUGUAGGCGGCUUAGCAAGUCGGGCGUGAAAGCCCUCAGCUCAACCGAGGAAGUGCACCCGAAACUGCUGAGCUUGAGUGCCGGAGAGGAUGGCGGAAUUCCCCAAGUAGAGGUGAAAUUCGUAGAUAUGGGGAGGAACACCGGUGGCGAAGGCGGCCAUCUGGACGGUAACUGACGCUGAGACGCGAAAGCGUGGGGAGCAAACAGG
rnacentral:rRNA from 1 species